GAUGAACGCUGGCGGCGUGCCUAAUACAUGCAAGUCGAGCGAACGGACGAGAAGCUUGCUUCUCUGAUGUUAGCGGCGGACGGGUGAGUAACACGUGGAUAACCUACCUAUAAGACUGGGAUAACUUCGGGAAACCGGAGCUAAUACCGGAUAAUAUUUUGAACCGCAUGGUUCAAAAGUGAAAGACGGUCUUGCUGUCACUUAUAGAUGGAUCCGCGCUUCAUUAGCUAGUUGGUAAGGUAACGGCUUACCAAGGCAACGAUGCAUAGCCGACCUGAGAGGGUGAUCGGCCACACUGGAACUGGGACACGGUCCAGACUCCUACGGGAGGCAGCAGUAGGGAAUCUUCCGCAAUGGGCGAAAGCCUGACGGAGCAACGCCGCGUGAGUGAUGAAGGUCUUCGGAUCGUAAAACUCUGUUAUUAGGGAAGAACAUAUGUGUAAGUAACUGUGCACAUCUUGACGGUACCUAAUCAGAAAGCCACGGCUAACUACGUG
rnacentral:rRNA from 1 species